rnacentral:tRNA from 2 species
GGGCCGGUAGCUCAGCUGGUCAGAGCAGGGGACUCAUAAUCCCUGGGUCGCGGGUUCAAGUCCCGCCCGGCCUA